UGGGGAAUAUUGCACAAUGGGCGCAAGCCUGAUGCAGCCAUGCCGCGUGUGUGAAGAAGGCCUUCGGGUUGUAAAGCACUUUCAGCGAGGAGGAAGGUGGUGAACUUAAUACGUUCAUCAAUUGACGUUACUCGCAGAAGAAGCACCGGCUAACUCCGUGCCAGCAGCCGCGGUAAUACGGAGGGUGCAAGCGUUAAUCGGAAUUACUGGGCGUAAAGCGCACGCAGGCGGUUUGUUAAGUCAGAUGUGAAAUCCCCGGGCUCAACCUGGGAACUGCAUUUGAAACUGGCAAGCUAGAGUCUCGUAGAGGGGGGUAGAAUUCCAGGUGUAGCGGUGAAAUGCGUAGAGAUCUGGAGGAAUACCGGUGGCGAAGGCGGCCCCCUGGACGAAGACUGACGCUCAGGUGCGAAAAGCGUGGGGAGCAAAACAGGAUUAGAUACCCUGGUAGUCCACGCUGUAAAACGAUGUCGAUUUUGGAGGUUGUGCCCUUGAGGCGUGGCUUCCGGAGCUAACGCGUUAAAUCGACCGCCUGGGGAGUACGGCCGCAAGGUUAAAACUUAAAUGAAUUGACGGGGUCAUAGCUGUUCCU
rnacentral:rRNA from 1 species